GAUAAUUCAUAAUAUAUAUUUUUUUGUAUUUCUUUAUAUAAAAGUGAAAUAAACGUUUAUUUUCAGUUUUAUAACAAAUCUACUGGUUAAAUUAAAGUAUACGAUCUAUCUAAUAUACUUGAUACAGAUAUGUAAUAAUACAGUGAUAAGAGCUUCUUAUGGAGUUAAGAAAGGAGAAUACACCAAGAAAAAUGGAAAGAAAUUAGGUUUCCUUUUUGGAAGAUGUGUAGAAUUUCAUAAGAAAACCUCGCCGAUUGUAUUCUGCUUUUCAAUGGAGCAACAAGAUUGUUGCCUUCCAAUUAGUCCUGCAAAUACCUCUUCAGAAAAUUAUACUCUCGAUCAUUCAAAUCCAUGGACUCUAUGCUGAACCUCCCGAACCUGCUUUUCCUAAUGGUUGUUCUACACUGCUAGAAAUGUAUUAUUGUUAUGAAGAGAUGCAGUGUAUAAGAAAUGUGUGCAAGGUACUGGAAAUAUGAACAUCCGGUAUACAUCAGAAAGAAAAUUUUAUAGAAGAAUCAACGACAAUCGCAGGACUUUAUGCUGUAUAUGUCUAACAGUAAAUUUAUAAUUAAAUGUGUUAAUU